rnacentral:ncRNA from 1 species
CGCCAAGACACGGGGUGCCCCGCCGGGGCUGAGAUCACACCCGUCGAACCUGAUCUAGUUCGCACUAGCGAAGGGAUGUCGCGAUGUCGCGCA